AGUGAACGCUGGCGGUAGGCCUAACACAUGCAAGUCGAACGGCAGCACAGUAAGAGCUUGCUCUUACGGGUGGCGAGUGGCGGACGGGUGAGGAAUACAUCGGAAUCUACUUUUUCGUGGGGGAUAACGUAGGGAAACUUACGCUAAUACCGCAUACGACCUACGGGUGAAAGCAGGGGAUCUUCGGACCUUGCGCGAUUGAAUGAGCCGAUGUCGGGUUAGCUAGUUGGCGGGGUAAAGGCCCACCAAGGCGACGAUACGUAGCUGGUCUGAGAGGAUGAUCAGCCACACUGGAACUGAGACACGGUCCAGACUCCUACGGGAGGCAGCAGUGGGGAAUAUUGGACAAUGGGCGCAAGCCUGAUCCAGCCAUACCGCGUGGGUGAAGAAGGCCUUCGGGUUGUAAAGCCCUUUUGUUGGGAAAGAAAAGCAGCAGGUUAAUACCCCGCUGUUCUGACGGUACCCAAAGAAUAAGCACCGGCUAACUUCGUG
rnacentral:rRNA from 1 species